UGUGUUCUUGGAUUCGGUUAGCAAU
rnacentral:misc_RNA from 1 species